UUACGGCCACAUCACGUGGAAACACUGCUUCCCGUACGAUAACCAAAGUUAAGCAACGUCGAAUUUGAUCAGUACCUAGAUGGGUGACUGCCUGGGUUUAAAAGGUGCUGUAA